rnacentral:rRNA from 1 species
GAUGAACGCUGGCGGCGUGCCUAAUACAUGCAAGUCGAGCGAACAGACGAGGAGCUUGCUCUUCUGACGUUAGCGGCGGACGGGUGAGUAACACGUGGAUAACCUACCUAUAAGACUGGGAUAACUUCGGGAAACCGGAGCUAAUACCGGAUAAUAUUUUGAACCGCAUGGUUCAAAAGUGAAAGACGGUUUUGCUGUCACUUAUAGAUGGAUCCGCGCUGCAUUAGCUAGUUGGUAAGGUAACGGCUUACCAAGGCAACGAUGCCUAGCCGACCUGAGAGGGUGAUCGGGCAAACUGGAACUGAGACACGGGCCAGGAUCCUAAGGGAGGCAGGAGUAGGGAAAGUUGCACAAAGGGCGGAAGGCUGACGGAGGCACGGCGCGGGGGGGAAGGAGGGCUUCGGGUCGGAAAACCCUGUUAUUAGGGAAGAAACUAUGGGGAAGGAAAUGAGGACAGCUUGACGGUACCUAAAUAAGAAGCCCCGGCUAACUUCGUG